rnacentral:misc_RNA from 1 species
AACGCACGAGACCUGCGGACCUGCGGAGGGAUCAUUAAUGAGAAACUGCCCCUCGCGGGUAGAUCUCCCACCCUUUGUAAACUUACCUUUGUUGCUUUGGCAGGCCCGUCUCCGGACCGCCGGCUUCGGCUGGCCAGUGCCUGCCAGAGGAUUCUAAAACUCUGUCUGUCAGUGAUGUCUGAGUCUAUAUACAAUCGUUAAAACUUUUAACAACGGAUCUCUAGAUCGGAAGAGCACACG